rnacentral:lncRNA from 10 species
CAGACAUCCGAGCUGCCUGCCGGGGCUCCCAGCCUAGAGUUCUCCUGAAGCUGACCGAGGGUCUCCACCGCCCCCCACCCCCGCUCCUCUCUCCCCUCCCCAGAGCACCAAUUUUGCGGGGGGCGGCUGGAGAAGGCCCAGGGAACCCUGACCACGCCCAACUGGCCCGAGUCCGAUUACCCCCCGGGCAUCAGCUGUUCCUGGCACAUCAUCGCGCCCCCGGACCAGGUCAUCGCGCUGACCUUCGAGAAGUUUGACCUGGAGCCGGACACCUACUGCCGCUAUGACUCGGUCAGCGUGUUCAACGGAGCCGUGAGC